GACGAACGCUGGCGGCGUGCUUAACACAUGCAAGUCGAGCGGUAAGGCCUCUUUGGGGGUACACGAGCGGCGAACGGGUGAGUAACACGUGGGUGACCUGCCCUUCACUCUGGGAUAAGCCUGGGAAACUGGGUCUAAUACCGGAUAUUCACUUCUCAUUGCAUGAUGGGUGGUGGAAGGUUUUUUCGGUGGGGGAUGGGCCCGCGGCCUAUCAGCUUGUUGGUGGGGUGAUGGCCUACCAAGGCGACGACGGGUAGCCGGCCUGAGAGGGCGACCGGCCACACUGGGACUGAGACACGGCCCAGACUCCUACGGGAGGCAGCAGUGGGGAAUAUUGCGCAAUGGGCGGAAGCCUGACGCAGCGACGCCGCGUGGGAGAUGACGGCCUUCGGGUUGUAAACCUCUUUCGGCCCCGACGAAGCGUGGGUGACGGUAGGGGUAGAAGAAGCACCGGCCAACUACGUGCCAGCAGCCGCGGUAACACGUAGGGUGCGAGCGUUGUCCGGAAUUAUUGGGCGUAAAGAGCUCGUAGGCGGUGUGUCGCGUCGGCCGUGAAAACCUGCAGCUUAACUGUGGGCUUGCGGUCGAUACGGGCAUCACUGGAGUUCGGCAGGGGAGACUGGAAUUCCUGGUGUAGCGGUGAAAUGCGCAGAUAUCAGGAGGAACACCGGUGGCGAAGGCGGGUCUCUGGGCCGAUACUGACGCUGAGGAGCGAAAGUGUGGGUAGCGAACAGGAUUAGAUACCCUGGUAGUCCACGCCGUAAACGUUGGGCGCUAGGUGUGGGGGCCAUUCCACGGUCUCUGUGCCGUAGCUAACGCAUUAAGCGCCCCGCCUGGGGAGUACGGCCGCAAGGCUAAA
rnacentral:rRNA from 1 species